rnacentral:lncRNA from 1 species
UAGACUCUGCAAACCAAACCGGUAGCUCCGCAUCCACAUGGACAAAAAACGACUGUUGCUUUCUUACACUGCGUGUGAGACUGUCCACCCUUAAAUUUUACGUCCGUGGUAUAUGAAUGAGCUCUGAACUGUUGAAAUUUCUCUUCAAAAACUUUAUAUCUUCCAAAUAACUUGCAAAGGCUGGCCAUUCUUCUGGUUCCAAAACCAUCUUCACCAACUGAGAAAAAUCCGUUGCAAAUGUAACAGUAAACUGUUUAAGAUUCCUCAUACAUUCUAUUUCCCAAAUGAAAGCUUCUAUCUCCGAGUGAAGUGGCGAAUGACUCGCUCUUGUAUCCUCGCUCCCAUUAAACCAUCAGAACCUUCCAGUUUACUAUACCACCCUUGUCCUGAAAAGAUUUCUUGAGUUUUCCAUGAUCC